CAAGAAUGCUUUGUCUUGUCCUUUAUGAGACUUGCUUACAUUAAUUUCCAUAGAAACCACACAACUGUGUGGGGGCUGAAGGAUCAGAAUGGAUAAACACUAGUUACUCCCGUAGAGGUCUGAGAGACUAGUCAAGGACAAACUCUUGACUAGUCGGAACAAACUCCAUCCCAGUUAUCUCUAACAGAACUCUGUGCGGAUCUGUGCUCCGGAGUAAGCAAGAUAAAAAGCAGAUCAUGUUCUUAAGUACUCUUUGCUGGAAAACAUCACGGAGUGUUUGUUUGAACUAAAGUAAUCCCGCUUGUGUAAGAUAAGGAUAUAAAAACCCAAGCAGUCUAGCAAUAAAGUAGUCUUUUAGCCUUUUAGCUUUUGCAUGCUAUCUGCUGUGUCUGUGUAAUUCUUUUCUUUACCGAACCCCGACAACUGGUGCCGAGAACUUGGAUCCGACCCUCCUUAGAGGUGGGGAGACUCCGCGGGACAGCAGCGACUUCUCCAUCGAUACUGGGAAAGGUCUGCGGAAAAAGGGAAAGCAACACUCCAUAAUCAAGUAUGAUGCAGACAUGCAGUCAAUCUACCUUGGGCAAGUGAGUGAACACUGCAGUUGAAAGUCACCAAGGGUUUUCUGGAUCUUUGUAAAAUGACAACAUGUAGUUGAAUCUUAAGAAGGC
rnacentral:lncRNA from 1 species